GUAGCGUGAAGGAUGACUGCCUAUGGGUUGUAAACUUCUUUUAUACGGGAAUAAGUGAGGCACGUGUGCCUUUUUGUAUGUACCGUAUGAAUAAGGAUCGGCUAACUCCGUGCCAGCAGCCGCGGUAAUACGGAGGAUCCGAGCGUUAUCCGGAUUUAUUGGGUUUAAAGGGAGCGUAGGCGGACGCUUAAGUCAGUUGUGAAAGUUUGCGGCUCAACCGUAAAAUUGCAGUUGAUACUGGGUGUCUUGAGUACAGUAGAGGCAGGCGGAAUUCGUGGUGUAGCGGUGAAAUGCUUAGAUAUCACGAAGAACUCCGAUUGCGAAGGCAGCCUGCUGGACUGUAACUGACGCUGAUGCUC
rnacentral:rRNA from 1 species